GGAGUUAGCCGGUGCUUCUUCUGUGAGUGAUGUCCUUCCUGCCGGCUAUUAACCCGCAGGCCUUCUUCCUCACUGAAAGUGCUUUACAACCCGAAGGCCUUCUUCACACACGCGGCAUGGCUGGAUCAGGGUUGCCCCCAUUGUCCAAUAUUCCCCACUGCUGCCUCCCGUAGGAGUCUGGGCCGUGUCUCAGUCCCAGUGUGGCUGAUCAUCCUCUCAGACCAGCUACGGAUCGUCGCCUUGGUGAGCCGUUACCUCACCAACCAGCUAAUCCGACAUAGGCUCAUCCGAUAGCGCGAGGCCCUAAGGUCCCCCGCUUUCCCCCGUAGGGCGUAUGCGGUAUUAGCCUGGGUUUCCCCAGGUUAUCCCCCACUACCGGGCAGAUUCCUAUGCAUUACUCACCCGUCCGCCGCUCGCCACCAGGGAGCAAGCUCCCCGUGCUGCCGCUCGACUUGCAUGUGUUAGGCCUGCCGCCAGCGUUCAAUCUGAGCCAGAAUCGAACCCUGA
rnacentral:rRNA from 1 species